rnacentral:rRNA from 1 species
CGCCUUCGGUGUCCGAGUUGUAAUUUGAAGAUUGUAACCUUGGGGUUGGCUCUUGUCUAUGUUUCUUGGAACAGGACGUCACAGAGGGUGAGAAUCCCGUGCGAUGAGAUGCCCAAUUCUAUGUAAGGUGCUUUCGAAGAGUCGAGUUGUUUGGGAAUGCAGCUCUAAGUGGGUGGUAAAUUCCAUCUAAAGCUAAAUAUUGGCGAGAGACCGAUAGCGAACAAGUACAGUGAUGGAAAGAUGAAAAGAACUUUGAAAAGAGAGUGAAAAAGUACGUGAAAUUGUUGAAAGGGAAGGGUUUGAGAUCAGACUCGAUAUUUUGUGAGCCUUGCCUUCGUGGCGGGGUGACCCGCAGCUUAUCGGGCCAGCAUCGGUUUGGGCGGUAGGAUAAUGGCGUAGGAAUGUGACUUUACUUCGGUGAAGUGUUAUAGCCUGCGUUGAUGCUGCCUGCCUAGACCGAG